rnacentral:rRNA from 1 species
AACGAACGCUGGCGGCAUGCCUAACACAUGCAAGUCGAACGAUGCCUUCGGGCAUAGUGGCGCACGGGUGCGUAACGCGUGGGAAUCUGCCCCCUGGUUCGGGAUAACAGUUGGAAACGACUGCUAAUACCGGAUGAUAUCGCGAGAUCAAAGAUUUAUCGCCAGGGGAUGAGCCCGCGUCCGAUUAGCUAGUUGGUAAGGUAAAGGCUUACCAAGGCGACGAUCGGUAGCUGGUCUGAGAGGAUGAUCAGCCACACUGGGACUGAGACACGGCCCAGACUCCUACGGGAGGCAGCAGUGGGGAAUAUUGGACAAUGGGCGAAAGCCUGAUCCAGCAAUGCCGCGUGAGUGAUGAAGGCCUUAGGGUUGUAAAGCUCUUUUACCCGGGAUGAUAAUGACAGUACCGGGAGAAUAAGCUCCGGCUAACUCCGUGCCAGCAGCCGCCGUAA